rnacentral:lncRNA from 1 species
AAUCCACCAACCUGCAGUUGUAUGAAAAAGAAAUACUUAGGAGGUUAUUUCAUGUUUGCCUAACAGAUAGAUACUUGACAUUUGGCUCAUCCCACACCACCACCCCUCCAUUCUCUGCCUGUUCUAAGCCCCAGGGAGCUAACUUCCAUUGGCUCUAUCCACACACUGCUUUGCCCUUUGAUUUCUGAUUAGGUUCAGCCAUUAGGGAUCUGCAAUAGGAUAUGGGAGAAAUUAAGAUUGGAUUACUUUGGGACACCGGGGUGGCUCAGCGGUUGAGCAUCUGCCUUCAGCUCAGGGCGUGAUCCUGGGGUCCUGGGAUCGAGUCCCAUAUGGGCUCCCUGCAUGGAGCCUGCUUCUCCCUCUGCCUGUGUCUCUCAUGAAUAAAUAAAAUCUUUUUAAUAAACAAAAGAUUGGAAUACUUUCAGCAACUCCCUGUGCAGUUCAGGCGGGUGGUGGCUCUCAUCGGAAGGGCAUAGUGCCUUCUACAUGUUGUUCCUCUUUUUUUUUUUUUUUUUUUUAAUGAGAGAGAGAGAGAGAGAGAGGCAGAGACAUAGAGGGAGAAGCAGACUCCAUGCACCGGGAGCCCGAUGUGAGAUUCGAUCCCGGGUCUCCAGGAUCGCGCCCCGGGCCAAAGGCAGGCGCUAAACCGCUGUACCACCCAGGGAUCCCUACAUGUUGUUCCUCUUUAAGCACUGUCUCCCCAGCCCCCGUGGUCUUUUGCUAACAAUUGUGAUUUUCCAACCACCUGCCCACACCUUUAAAAACACCAUCUAUUAAAUUAUCUUCAAAGUGUGUGCUAUGUUUCCUGUCAUGACCCUAAUAUAACAAGUAUUUCCUAUUUCAAUAAAGUAUAAAACCUUACACUUACUUGAUGUUGCUCAAGCAAAGUUGUAAAAGUUGGCUUUUUUCAUUUGCUCAUCAAAGCCAGGAAGAGGUUCUUGAGUUAACAAGUACACCAAGGAACUUUAUUUUUGCCUCUCAGUAGAUAAACUUCUAAGGGCGAUACCCACGCACUCUGCCACCCCCAUAAUGGCCAACAUUGCCCAAGUACCUGCCUUGUAUCAGAAAGCCAAUGAAUGUAAUGUGUUCCUUAAGUGGAAGAAGGGAGAUUGGAAGGAAGUCCCUAGCAACCCCAUUCUAAACAGCUGAUUAUGGGAUAUGAAGUGCUAUGGACUGAAUGUUCAUAUCUCCCCCCUAAAUUCAUGUUGAAGGCCAAUCUCCAGUGUGAUAGUAUUUGGAGGCAGGGAUUCUGGGAGGUAAUUAGGACAUGAAGGUGGAGCCCUCACGAAUCAAUUAGCACUCUUAUAAAAGACCCCAGAAAAAAAAAAAAAAAAAAAGACCCCAGAAAGUUCCCUUGCCCCUUCUGCCAUGUGAGGACACAGCAAGGAGAUGGCUGGCUGUAAAGACAAGAAGUAGGCCUUCACUAGACAUGAAAUCUGCAGCACCUUAAUCCUGGAUUUUCGGGCCUCCAGAACUGUGAGAAAUAACUUUCUGUUGUAAGCCAUCUAGUCUAGUCUAUGGUGGUCUCUUCUAGCAGCCCAAAUGCAGUAGGAUAUGUAGGUGUCUGAUAAAUGAAAUUAGAAGAUGGCCUGAAGCAGAUAGAGCCAAAGCAAAGCAACAUAAUGGCUUGUACAGAGACCUCAGGUUCUUGGACCACCUUUCCUGAGUGAUGUUCCCCCGCCCCCCCCAGCCACUGACAAGCUAAUUCUUUCAGAAGAAAGUCCUUGGUACUGGACUUUCUUGGAGAUCCAAUUUGGGCUUCUGGCCUCCGGAACUACAAGGUAAUAAAUUUAUGCUGUUUUAAGUCACUAAUUUGUCCAACAACAGAAUAUGAACAUAUCUUGACUUUAAAGAUUUAUUUAUUUGUUUAUGAUAGACAUAGAAGCAGAGACACAGGAGGGAGAAGCAGGCUCCAUGCUGGGAGCCCAAUGUAGGGCUCGAUCCCGGGACUCCAGGACCACGCCCUGGGCCAAAGGCAGGCGCUAAACCGCUGAGCCACCCAGGGAUACCCGUGAUUGAGUGAUUCUUUUUUGUUAGGUUCCUCAGCGUCUUCCUAAGUGGAAUUUUACCAGUAUGUUGAGGACAAGGUUCCGAUAUUUAGCAGCCUGGAGUUAAGGGAAAUAGCUGAGACUCUGGCCCUCACUGAAAACAAAUUCUAGCAGUUACAAACAUAAGGUUUCAUUCCCAAAAUCAAAUAAAAAUUUUGUCAAUAUCUGAUGUUCUGGGUAAUGUAAACCCAUGCCCUGGGGGAGAGCAGGACCUGAAGCUGAUUCUAUUUGGAAACUUGGGUCUCCCUUGCCUUUCCCCCUAUGGAGCCCACACCUGGAGGUGUCCAGUCUAUACUGGUUUCAGUUUCUAUUCGCAGUAUCAACUGGACUUAAGAUCCCAUUUCCUGCCAUUAAGUGUGCGAUGAAACCCAAGUCCCUAUGACCACUUCAGGACAAGCCAGACACCAGGCCACCUCCCUCCCUAUUGCUCUGUUUCCCUCUUUUUGUUUCUGACUCCUGCUGGUUACCUUUUCUUGCAAAUUCAGACAUGACUUUACUCUUCUUCCUUUGCUUGCUUUUUUCUUGUAAUAUUUUACACAGGAUUUUGGGGGUGUUUAUGCUAGAAGGGGCUCCCUAUUAGUAAAAUCUGUCAUGUUGGAACCAGAAGUGUUUCCACACUGAACACAAAGGGCACAUUUUAUGAUUUUCCUAAAAUACAUAGACUGCCCCAAUGGUGAAUUAAAUUCUGUAAAAAUAGGUGUGGGCUGCUUAAAACAGUUUUCCCAGCGCUUCUAUUAACAUUUCAAAUUUAGGCCCACUCAGGUAGAAGAUUAACUUGGAGAAGACAACUGAGAGCUAUUGAGUUGCACAAGAGGGGUCUGUCACCAGAGGGAAGAACUGGACUUGCUCCCAUGCUCCUGAGAGCAUACUGGAGCAGCAGAACAAAUGCUGGCUAUGAGAGAGACAACUUCCCCCAGAAAACACCAGCUUGGGAGGAGCUCUCCAUCCCUGACGUCCCCGUCAGGCAAGCAAGACCAUCGAAAGUAUCAGGACCACCUGUUCAUACUGUUAACCGGCAGAACAAUCCUGUCUCAGCAACUCAUGUUGGUUGGUUCCUACAUCCUGCUAGCUCAGAUUCCACUUGUCUGUCUGAAUCACUGUCUGCAAGAUGCAUUUGUAAUUGAGAAGCCAUGUGUUUGUGUAGUUUCAUCACUUUCUUGUAAUCCGAAUACCUAAAAUAAACCUUUUGGAAAAU